GACAGAGGGUGCAAACGUUGCUCGGAAUUACUGGGCGUAAAGCGCGCGUAGGCGGCUGAUUAAGUCGGGUGUGAAAGCCCCGGGCUCAACCUGGGAAUUGCAUCCGAUACUGAUUGGCUAGAGUAUGAGAGAGGGAGGUAGAAUUCCACGUGUAGCGGUGAAAUGCGUAGAUAUGUGGAGGAAUACCGGUGGCGAAGGCGGCCUCCUGGCUUAAUACUGACGCUGAGGUGCGAAAGCGUGGGGAUCAAACAGG
rnacentral:rRNA from 1 species